rnacentral:piRNA from 1 species
GAGACCAGUUCUAAUCUCAUUCCUUCCCAAG